GCAAGUCGAACGAAGUAGCAAUACUUAGUGGCAGACGGGUGAGUAACAUGUAGGUAUCUGCCCUUUGGCCUGGAAUAACACGAGGAAACUUGUGCUAAUACCGGAUAAGUCUUUACGGAGAAAGCUUUAUGCACCAUUGGAUGAGCCUGCACUUGAUUAGUUUGUUGGUGGGGUAAUGGCCUACCAAGACUUUGAUCAAUAGCUGAUUUGAGAGGAUGAUCAGCCACAUUGGGACUGAGACACGGCCCAAACUCCUACGGGAGGCAGCAGUGGGGAAUCUUGCACAAUGGAGGAAACUCUGAUGCAGCGAUGCCGCGUGAGUGAAGAAGGCCUUUGGGUUGUAAAGCUCUUUCGUCGGGGAAGAAAAUGACUGUACCCGAAUAAGAAGGUCCGGCUAACUUCGUGCCAGCAGCCGCGGUAAUACGAAGGGACCUAGCGUAGUUCGGAACUACUGGGCUUAAAGAGUUCGUAGGUGGUUGAAAAAGUUGGUGGUGAAAUCCCAGAGCUUAACUCUGGAACUGCCAUCAAAACUUUUCAGCUAGAGUUUGAUAGAGGAAAGCAGAAUUUCUAGUGUAGAGGUGAAAUUCGUAGAUAUUAGAAAGAAUACCAAUUGCGAAGGCAGCUUUCUGGAUCAUUACUGACACUGAGGAACGAAAGCAUGGUAGCGAAGAGGAUUAGAUACCCUCGUAGUCCAUGCCGUAAACGAUGUGUGUUAGACGUUGGAAAUUUAUUUUCAGUGUCGCAGCGAAAGCGAUAAACACACCGCCUGGGGAGUACGACCGCAAGGUUAAAACUCAAAUGAAUUGACGGGGACCCGCACAAGUAGUGGAGCAUGUGGUUUAAUUCGAAGAUACGCGCAGAACCUUACCAACACUUGACAUGUUCGUCGCGA
rnacentral:rRNA from 1 species